UCAGGAUUGACGCUGGCGGUAUGCUUAACACAUGCAAGUCGAACGGUCACUUAGGUGAUAGUGGCGGACGGGUGAGUAACGCGUGAGAAUCUAGCUCUAGGUCGGGGACAACCACUGGAAACGGUGGCUAAUACCGGAUGUGCCGAGAGGUAAAAGGCUUGCUGCCUAGAGAUGAGCUCGCGUCUGAUUAGCUAGUAGGUGUGGUAAGAGCGCACCUAGGCGACGAUCAGUAGCUGGUCUGAGAGGAUGAUCAGCCACACUGGGACUGAGACACGGCCCAGACUCCUACGGGAGGCAGCAGUGGGGAAUUUUCCGCAAUGGGCGAAAGCCUGACGGAGCAAUACCGCGUGAGGGAGGAAGGCUCUUGGGUUGUAAACCUCUUUUCUCAGGGAAUAAAAAAAUGAAGGUACCUGAGGAAUAAGCAUCGGCUAACUCCGUGCCAGCAGCCGCGGUAAUACGGAGGAUGCAAGCGUUAUCCGGAAUGAUUGGGCGUAAAGGGUCCGCAGGUGGCCCUGUAAGUCUGCUGUUAAAGAGUGAGGCUUAACCUCAUAAGAGCAGUGGAAACUACAGAGCUAGAGUGCGUUCGGGGUAGCAGGAAUUCCUGGUGUAGCGGUGAAAUGCGUAGAGAUCAGGAAGAACACCGGU
rnacentral:rRNA from 1 species